GACGAACGCUGGCGGCGUGCUUAACACAUGCAAGUCGAACGGAAAGGCCCCUUUUGGGGUACUCGAGUGGCGAACGGGUGAGUAACACGUGAGUAACCUGCCCUUGACUUCGGGAUAACUUCAGGAAACUGGGGCUAAUACCGGAUAGGAAUCCUUGCUGCAUGGUGGGGGUUGGAAAGCUUCGGCGGUUUUGGAUGGACUCGCGGCUUAUCAGCUUGUUGGUGGGGUAGUGGCUUACCAAGGCUUUGACGGGUAGCCGGCCUGAGAGGGCGACCGGCCACAUUGGGACUGAGAUACGGCCCAGACUCCUACGGGAGGCAGCAGUGGGGAAUAUUGCACAAUGGGCGGAAGCCUGAUGCAGCAACGCCGCGUGCGGGAUGACGGCCUUCGGGUUGGAAACCGCUUUCAGCAGGGGCGAAGCUUGUGGUGACGGUACCUGCAGAAGAAGCACCGGCUAACUACGUG
rnacentral:rRNA from 1 species